rnacentral:rRNA from 1 species
UAGGGAAUAUUGGUCAAUGGGUGAGAGCCUGAACCAGCCAUGCCGCGUGCAGGAAGAAGGCCUUCUGGGUUGUAAACUGCUUUUGCCAGGGGAUAAAAUGACCUUGCGAGGUUAAUUGAAGGUACCUGGUGAAUAAGCCACGGCUAACUACGUGCCAGCAGCCGCGGUAAUACGUAGGUGGCAAGCGUUGUCCGGAUUUAUUGGGUUUAAAGGGUGCGUAGGCGGCCCUGUAAGUCAGUGCUGAAAUAUCCCAGCUUAACUGGGAGGGUGGCAUUGAUACUGCGGGGCUAGAGUACAGAUGAGGUAGGCGGAAUUGACGGUGUAGCGGUGAAAUGCUUAGAUAUCGUCAAGAACACCUAUAGCGAAGGCAGCUUACUAGGCUGUAACUGACGCUGAGGCACGAAAGUGUGGGGAUCAAACAGG